GACGAACGCUGGCGGCGUGCUUAACACAUGCAAGUCGAACGGAGUGGCGAACGGGGGAGUAACACGUGGGUGGUCUGCCUUGCACUUGGGGAUAAGCUUGGGAAACGGGGUCAAAUACCCGAUCGUGCAAGAUGAGCCCGGGGCAAAUCGGUUUGGUGGUGGGGUAAUGGCCUACAAAGUCGUCGACGGGUAGCCGGCCUGAGAGGGUGUUCGGCCACAUGGGGCCUGAGAUACGGCCCAGACUCCUACGGGAGGCAGCAGUGGGGAAUAUUGCACAAUGGGCGGAAGCCUGAUGCAGCGACGCCGCGUGGGGGAUGAAGGCCUUCGGGUUGUAAACUCCUUUCGACAGGGACGCGGUACCUGUAUAAGAAGCACCGGCUAACUACGUGCCAGCAGCCGCGGUAAUUC
rnacentral:rRNA from 1 species